AGGGAUAUAGCUCAGUUGGUAGAGUGCUUGCCUUGCAUGCACAAGGUUCUGGGUUCAAUCCCCAGUACCACAA
rnacentral:tRNA from 1 species